rnacentral:tRNA from 1 species
UCAGAUAAAACUCAGCAGUAGAGUGCUUGCCUAGCAUGCAGGAGGCCCUGGGUUCAAUUCCCAGUACCUGGA